GCAAAAACAUUCUCUCAGGAGGAGGGAGGGGUGUCCAGCCGGCCAACCAGCAGAGAUUCAUCCGGGGGAAAUCCCACUGAACAACCUGGUGGUCUUCAAUGAUGGAGUGAUUACACUUGCAGAUAAGGGAAAGGCUACAGAUGUAAUCUUCUGGAGUUCUGUAAGGACUGUGGCACUAUUCCCCACCACAUCCUUUGCUCUAAAUGGGAGAGAGCAUAGGAAGGACAUGGACCUAUUAGAGCAAGUGCCAAGAAGGCCACCAAGAUGAUCAUAGGGAUGGAAUGCCUGGACAGAUGAGAGAACUGAGUUUAUUCAGACUGGAGAAGAGGUAACAUCAGCAAGCAAGUGAUAUAGCUUAGGACUGAAAACACCACCUCAAUCUUGCUGCAUCCCCAGUCUCAGGAAACCCAUUCAUCCAUUCAUAGAGCUCCUCAAAUGUUCACCACAGAACAAGGUGGGACAGAGGCCUAGGGUAGGAUGAAUGUGGUAGGAUGAAAGGGUAGCAUGAAGGAAAGCAUGGAAAGCCAAGCAACAUACCUACUGCAUACACAUCAUCCUGCUGCUGCACUGCUGUGGCAUUUCCAAGGAGCCUUGCCCAUCUGAGAUGCACCUCUGGGAGUUUCCCUGGGCACAUCCGUGGAUCAAAGGGAGCUGCCUGCUAUGGAUGUAAAGAAAGAAAGAAAAGAAACUUCCAACACACUGGGAAAACUCACCAAGUACUGGUACGAGGAAAGCAGUGAGCCCGAAUGGGCCACUCCCGGCAACACUGGAAGUUGUGGGACAGAGAGGACACAUCAGGUGCUUGGUAUUGGUCGUUGAUUGCCUGAUGUGUGGCCAGGUUGUGAUGCAUCCCCUCCAGGACAAGUUCCCACA